rnacentral:rRNA from 1 species
GACAGAGGGUGCAAACGUUGCUCGGAAUACUGGGCGUAAAGCGCGUGUAGGUGGAUUGGUGUGUCAGAUGUGAAAGCCCUGGGCUCAACCCAGGAACUGCACCUGAAACUACCAGUCUUGAGUGGUGGAGAGGGAAGUGGAAUUCCUGGUGUAGAGGUGAAAUUCGUAGAUAUCAGGAGGAACACCAGUGGCGAAGGCGGCUUCCUGGACACUAACUGACGCUGAGACGCGAAAGCGUGGGGAGCAAACAGG